GGGGUUGUGGCUCAGAGGCAGAGCGCUUGCCUGGCAUGUAUGAGGCACUGGGUUCAAUCCUCAGCACCGCA
rnacentral:tRNA from 1 species